rnacentral:SRP_RNA from 1 species
AGGCUAGGACAAUGGUGGGCUUGUGAAGCGUGUCAGGUCUGGAAGGAAGCAGCACUAAGCAGGUUCCGCCAUGUGUCUGAUUAUAAU